GAGCCAUCUUCUACAUAGCUAACACCAAGAGCAAUGAGGAUAGUACCAUAUAAAAAGUAGCUUGUUCAAGAGAAAACUGAUGCAUAAUGAUAGAAAUCAUAUUAGUGUUUGCCUUGAGUCAGGGAUAGCAGAUUGACUUGGAUUUGGCAUAAAGAGACUUUUGAGGGGAAUGGAAAUGUUCUACUUCUUGAUUUGGGUGGUGGUUACAUUAGUAUAUAUGAUUAUCAAAACUUAAAAUGGGUACAUUCCUUUUGUUGUAUGUAAAUUAUACCUCGAUAAAACAUAGUUUUUAAAAAGUAGCCCAGAAUUUCUUAAAGUGAGUAAUAUAUUUUGUGCCUAACUUCACAUUGCUUUACUCACUUCUCAAUAGUUCUGAAACACAGACAACAUCAAGGGGGAAAGAAAGUGAAGAUUCAUCUUAUAAGCCAAUUUUUUCAACACUUCCUGAAACCAACAUUUUAAAUGUGGUUAAGUUUCUAGGCUUGUGUACAUCUAUACAU
rnacentral:sRNA from 1 species